rnacentral:rRNA from 24 species
GGGUUGUGAGGUUAAGCGACUAAGCGUACACGGUGGAUGCCCUGGCAGUCAGAGGCGAUGAAGGGCGUGCUAAUCUGCGAUAAGCGCCGGUAAGGUGAUAUGAACCGUUAUAACCGGCGAUACCCGAAUGGGGAAACCCAGUGUGAUUCGUCACACUAUCAUUAACUGAAUCCAUAGGUUAAUGAGGCGAACCGGGGGAACUGAAACAUCUAAGUACCCCGAGGAAAAGAAAUCAACCGAGAUUCCCCCAGUAGCGGCGAGCGAACGGGGAGGAGCCCAGAGCCUGAAUCAGCAUGUGUGUUAGUGGAAGCGUCUGGAAAGGCGCGCGAUACAGGGUGACAGCCCCGUACACAAAAGCGCAUGUGCUGUGAGCUCGAUGAGUAGGGCGGGACACGUGGUAUCCUGUCUGAAUAUGGGGGGACCAUCCUCCAAGGCUAAAUACUCCUGACUGACCGAUAGUGAACCAGUACCGUGAGGGAAAGGCGAAAAGAACCCCGGCGAGGGGAGUGAAAAAGAACCUGAAACCGUGUACGUACAAGCAGUGGGAGCACCCUUUGGGGUGUGACUGCGUACCUUUUGUAUAAUGGGUCAGCGACUUAUAUUCUGUAGCAAGGUUAACCGUAUAGGGGAGCCGGAGGGAAACCGAGUCUUAAUUGGGCGUUAAGUUGCAGGGUAUAGACCCGAAACCCGGUGAUCUAGCCAUGGGCAGGUUGAAGGUUGGGUAACACUAACUGGAGGACCGAACCGACUAAUGUUGAAAAAUUAGCGGAUGACCUGUGGCUGGGGGUGAAAGGCCAAUCAAACCGGGAGAUAGCUGGUUCUCCCCGAAAGCUAUUUAGGUAGCGCCUCGUGAAUUCAUCUCCGGGGGUAGAGCACUGUUUCGGCUAGGGGGCCAUCCCGGCUUACCAACCCGAUGCAAACUGCGAAUACCGGAGAAUGUUAUCACGGGAGACACACGGCGGGUGCUAACGUCCGUCGUGAAGAGGGAAACAACCCAGACCGCCAGCUAAGGUCCCAAAGUCAUGGUUAAGUGGGAAACGAUGUGGGAAGGCCCAGACAGCCAGGAUGUUGGCUUAGAAGCAGCCAUCAUUUAAAGAAAGCGUAAUAGCUCACUGGUCGAGUCGGCCUGCGCGGAAGAUGUAACGGGGCUAAACCAUGCACCGAAGCUGCGGCAGCGACACUGUGUGUUGUUGGGUAGGGGAGCGUUCUGUAAGCCUGUGAAGGUGUGUCGUGAGGCAUGCUGGAGGUAUCAGAAGUGCGAAUGCUGACAUAAGUAACGAUAAAGCGGGUGAAAAGCCCGCUCGCCGGAAGACCAAGGGUUCCUGUCCAACGUUAAUCGGGGCAGGGUGAGUCGACCCCUAAGGCGAGGCCGAAAGGCGUAGUCGAUGGGAAACGGGUUAAUAUUCCCGUACUUGGUGUUACUGCGAAGGGGGGACGGAGAAGGCUAUGUUGGCCGGGCGACGGUUGUCCCGGUUUAAGCGUGUAGGCUGGUUUUCCAGGCAAAUCCGGAAAAUCAAGGCUGAGGCGUGACGACGAGGCACUACGGUGCUGAAGCAACAAAUGCCCUGCUUCCAGGAAAAGCCUCUAAGCAUCAGGUAACACGAAAUCGUACCCCAAACCGACACAGGUGGUCAGGUAGAGAAUACCAAGGCGCUUGAGAGAACUCGGGUGAAGGAACUAGGCAAAAUGGUGCCGUAACUUCGGGAGAAGGCACGCUGACAUGUAGGUGAAGUGAUUUACUCAUGGAGCUGAAGUCAGUCGAAGAUACCAGCUGGCUGCAACUGUUUAUUAAAAACACAGCACUGUGCAAACACGAAAGUGGACGUAUACGGUGUGACGCCUGCCCGGUGCCGGAAGGUUAAUUGAUGGGGUCAGCGCAAGCGAAGCUCCUGAUCGAAGCCCCGGUAAACGGCGGCCGUAACUAUAACGGUCCUAAGGUAGCGAAAUUCCUUGUCGGGUAAGUUCCGACCUGCACGAAUGGCGUAAUGAUGGCCAGGCUGUCUCCACCCGAGACUCAGUGAAAUUGAACUCGCUGUGAAGAUGCAGUGUACCCGCGGCAAGACGGAAAGACCCCGUGAACCUUUACUAUAGCUUGACACUGAACAUUGAGCCUUGAUGUGUAGGAUAGGUGGGAGGCUUUGAAGUGUGGACGCCAGUCUGCAUGGAGCCGACCUUGAAAUACCACCCUUUAAUGUUUGAUGUUCUAACGUGGACCCGUAAUCCGGGUUGCGGACAGUGUCUGGUGGGUAGUUUGACUGGGGCGGUCUCCUCCUAAAGAGUAACGGAGGAGCACGAAGGUUGGCUAAUCCUGGUCGGACAUCAGGAGGUUAGUGCAAUGGCAUAAGCCAGCUUGACUGCGAGCGUGACGGCGCGAGCAGGUGCGAAAGCAGGUCAUAGUGAUCCGGUGGUUCUGAAUGGAAGGGCCAUCGCUCAACGGAUAAAAGGUACUCCGGGGAUAACAGGCUGAUACCGCCCAAGAGUUCAUAUCGACGGCGGUGUUUGGCACCUCGAUGUCGGCUCAUCACAUCCUGGGGCUGAAGUAGGUCCCAAGGGUAUGGCUGUUCGCCAUUUAAAGUGGUACGCGAGCUGGGUUUAGAACGUCGUGAGACAGUUCGGUCCCUAUCUGCCGUGGGCGCUGGAGAACUGAGGGGGGCUGCUCCUAGUACGAGAGGACCGGAGUGGACGCAUCACUGGUGUUCGGGUUGUCAUGCCAAUGGCACUGCCCGGUAGCUAAAUGCGGAAGAGAUAAGUGCUGAAAGCAUCUAAGCACGAAACUUGCCCCGAGAUGAGUUCUCCCUGAGACUUAAAGUCUCCUGAAGGAACGUUGAAGACGACGACGUUGAUAGGCCGGGUGUGUAAGCGCAGCGAUGCGUUGAGCUAACCGGUACUAAUGAACCGUGAGGCUUAACCUUACAACGCCGAAG